UACAGAGGGUGCGAGCGUUGUCCGGAAUCACUGGGCGUAAAGGGCGCGUAGGUGGCGACCCAAGUCCAUGGUGAAAGCUCGAUGCUCAACAUCGAGUCUGCCACGGAUACUGGGUUGCUCGAGCACUGUAGAGGCUAAUGGAAUUCCCGGUGUAGCGGUGGAAUGCGUAGAGAUCCGGAAGAACACCGGUGGCGAAGGCGGUUAGCUGGGCAGUUGCUGACACUGAGGCGCGACAGCGUGGGGAGCGAACAGG
rnacentral:rRNA from 1 species